UACGUAGGGUGCGAGCGUUAAUCGGAAUUACUGGGCGUAAAGCGUGCGCAGGCGGUUAUUUAAGUCAGGUGUGAAAGCCCUGGGCUUAACCUAGGAAUUGCGCUUGAGACUGGAUAGCUUGGAGUGCGGCAGAGGGAGGUGGAAUUCCACGUGUAGCAGUGAAAUGCGCAGAUAUCAGGAGGAACACCGGUGGCGAAGGCGGGUCGCUGGGCCGAUACUGACGCUGAGGAGCGAAAGCGUGGGGAGCGAACAGG
rnacentral:rRNA from 1 species